UCGGCGCCGUGGCUGGUGGCCACCGUCCUCGGUUCCGGUGCCGGGGUGUCCGAUCCGGCGGGCGCCGCCGCGUUCGCCGCGCGGGCGGAGAG
rnacentral:tRNA from 1 species